AACCUUUGCUGUCUUGGAACAGAUCACCACUGCAAGAGGGGAAGUUGCUACUGUGAUGAAUUCUGCCAUGUGGUACCAGACUGCUACCCAGACCACAGUGUCCUCUGCAACCCUCGUAACUCACAUACAGGCCUGAUUCCACCUACAGCAAAGCUGGAUGCUAUGGUUGGCAGAGGCAAACCCUUUGCCUGCACUUCAGGCCAAAGCCGGGAUGUGGCCUAGAUGGUUCCUAAGCUUCUCAGAUGACCAAGAUGGUGCUGCAGAUGGUGCUGAGGAUGGAGAACCCACCAAGCCCCGCUAGGAGCCACCUAGACUGGAUGUAGAGCAUGUUUUAUUUGCUUCCAAGAAGGAAGGCAAGAUUUCCUGGGUCCGUGAUGAUGGAAGGCUGACAACUCUUUUAUGGAGUUUGAGCUUGCUCCCAGCAGGGAAGACAAGUUCGAGUUUUUUUCCUGCUUCAAGGAUGGUAGAGAGCAGUCUUCAGCCUGAGACCCAUCCCUAGGUGAAAAUGGAGGUUUCCUCCUCCUGCGGCUGAGUGUGGCUUCCCUGGAAGACCUCACUGACCCCAGAGUGGCAGAAAGGCUGAUGCAGCAGCUCCACCGGGAACUCCACGCCCACGCGCCUCACUUCCAGGUCUCCUUACUGCGUGUCAGGAGAGGCUAAUGGACAUCAGCUGCAGCCAGGCAUGUCCCGUAUGCCAAAAGA
rnacentral:lncRNA from 1 species